AACCCUUGUCCUAGUUACCAGCACGGUUAUGGUGGGCACUCUAAGGAGACUGCCGGUGACAAACCGGAGGAAGGUGGGGAUGACGUCAAGUCAUCAUGGCCCUUACGGCCUGGGCUACACACGUGCUACAAUGGUCGGUACAAAGGGUUGCCAAGCCGCGAGGUGGAGCUAAUCCCAUAAAACCGAUCGUAGUCCGGAUCGCAGUCUGCAACUCGACUGCGUGAAGUCGGAAUCGCUAGUAAUCGUGAAUCAGAAUGUCACGGUGAAUACGUUCCCGGGCCUU
rnacentral:rRNA from 1 species